rnacentral:rRNA from 1 species
UACGUAGGUGUCGAGCGUUGUCCGGAUUUAUUGGGCGUAAAGAGCCCGCAGGCGGCUUGGCAAGUUUGAGGUGAAAUCUCCCGGCUUAACUGGGAGGGGGCCUCGAAAACUGCCAGGCUUGAGGCAUGGAGAGGGAUGCGGAAUUCCCGGUGUAGUGGUGAAAUGCGUAGAUAUCGGGAGGAACACCAGUGGCGAAGGCGGUUAGCUGGCCUGUAACUGACACUGAGGCGCGAAGGCUAGGGGAGCGAACAGG